UGGGGAAUUUUGGACAAUGGGCGCAAGCCUGAUCCAGCCAUGCCGCGUGCGGGAAGAAGGCCUUCGGGUUGUAAACCGCUUUUGUCAGGGAAGAAAUCUUCUGAGUUAAUACCUCGGGAGGAUGACGGUACCUGAAGAAUAAGCACCGGCUAACUACGUGCCAGCAGCCGCGGUAAUACGUAGGGUGCAAGCGUUAAUCGGAAUUACUGGGCGUAAAGCGUGCGCAGGCGGUUUUGUAAGACAGAGGUGGAAUCCCCGGGCUCAACCUGGGAACUGCCUUUGUGACUGCAAGGCUGGAGUGCGGCAGAGGGGGGAUGGAAUUCCGCGUGUAGCAGUGAAAUGCGUAGAUAUGCGGAGGAACACCGAUGGCGAAGGCAAUCCCCUGGGCCUGCACUGACGCUCAUGCACGAAAGCGUGGGGAGCAAAACAGGAUUAGAUACCCUGGUAGUCCACGCCCUAAACGAUGUCAACUGGUUGUU
rnacentral:rRNA from 1 species